GCCCCUGACUGCAGCCCGCAGACGGAGCCCACAUGGAGGGGGCGGGCACUCAGUCCACAUGGAGGGGGCUGGCACUCCGCCCACAUGGAGGGGGCGGGCACUCAGUCCACAUGGAUGGGGCGGGCACUCAGUCCACAUGGAGGGGGCCGGCACUCCGCCCACAUGGAGGGGGCUGGCACUCCGCCCACAUGGAGGGGGCUGGCACUCAGUCCACAUGGAGGGGGCGGCAACUCAGUUCACAUUGAGGACUGGUCAAACAGCAUUUCUGAUCCCGUUUCUGACCUGAAAUUAGCUGAAAUGUACCUGAAAUUACCUGAAAUUAGAGUGUGCCCGCCCGAGCGAGUGAUGCCUAAAACAUGCAAACAAAACUGAAGACCAGGAACUGGAACCUGGGAACCUGGUAUGUGAUAUGUGUGUAAUGCUGGAGGUUGUAUGUAUAGCCAGAUGAAAUAGUCUGAUGACUAGUUGAAUAGUGUUUUUUAUCACUGAAAACUCAUCAGUAGUAGUAGCCUUUGUUUGCAUACCAUUUUGUGGUUUUGGGAGAGUAGGGUGUCAAGUACAGACACAAAUAAUUUUUCUUUCUUCUUCAAGGAAGAUGAUGUUGUCCUGAAGGACACAAUUCAGGCAGCAGCAUGGUGCCAGUUACAGUCCUCAAGGACAGCGUUUCUCUCCCAGAGGUCAUUGGGAUGGAAUGUUGGGAGCAGAUGGCAGCAUCAACACAGCGCAAAUCCCAUGACGGCGGGGAUGAGGAAGAAACGUGGAAACCAUUCCAAUUCUCAUUCAGAUUACAUACUGACUAUGAACUGUUCUGUGUGGAGAUGAUGGACAGGAGAAACCUGAAGGUGUUUGCCUCUUUUGAGUCAAACACCUCUCCCCCUCCCCGUCCCCCUCCCCGUCCCCCUCCCCGUGACGCCUGCGCCACACGACUCCAAUGUAGUCUGAUGAUGCAGCAUAAUGGCGGCGCUUGGCAGCUAUGGCGGCGGUGACGGCGAUGUCGGGCGACAGAGCGUGAAGCGAGAGUGGCGUCCACCUCACUGAGGAAGGCGUCAGUGUGUUCCCCCCCCGUUGAGACUUUGUUUGUUCUACUCUUUAUUGAUUUAUCUUUUAUGUUAAGAGUUUACAAUCUAUUUUUUGUAGUUGUUAUUUUUUAAUUGUUUUGUUGAAUAAAAAGACUGUUGUUAGUG